AUUGAACGCUGGCGGCAUGCCUUACACAUGCAAGUCGAACGGUAACGGGCCUUCGGGUGCCGACGAGUGGCGAACGGGUGAGUAAUACAUCGGAACGUGCCCGAUCGUGGGGGAUAACGAGGCGAAAGCUUUGCUAAUACCGCAUACGAUCUACGGAUGGAAGCAGGGGACCGCAAGGCCUUGCGCGGACGGAGCGGCCGAUGGCAGAUUAGGUAGUUGGUGGGAUAAAAGCUUACCAAGCCGACGAUCUGUAGCUGGUCUGAGAGGAUGAUCAGCCACACUGGGACUGAGACACGGCCCAGACUCCUACGGGAGGCAGCAGUGGGGAAUUUUGGACAAUGGGCGCAAGCCUGAUCCAGCCAUGCCGCGUGCAGGAUGAAGGCCUUCGGGUUGUAAACUGCUUUUGUACGGAACGAAAAGCCUUCUUUUAAUACAGGAGGGUCAUGACGGUACCGUAAGAAUAAGCACCGGCUAACUACGUG
rnacentral:rRNA from 1 species